ensembl:scaRNA
ACUGGAGGACUAAGGAGGCUGGGUCUGAUGAGGCAAGAUUUUGCUGAUACAUUGCUCCUAGAAAAAAGCGUUGGCAAGAGCAGCCCUCACUGGAGACUAUCACACGGCUGACUGUUCUACCCAACACUC